AUUUGUCUCAAAUACAGAUGGAGGCCCUAAACUUGUGUUCGACCAGCAGCACGUAAAGAUCAAAAUGAUCACAGAACAGAAUGAUCAGAAUGAUCAAAUCACAGAACGCUGAAAGGAAUGAACAACAUAGCGACUGUCCUUGUGAUCCUUAUCCUCAUCAUAAACUGCAC